GCCCCCGUUGUCUAAUGGUUAUGACGUCAGACUUCUAGUUUACGUAAUGAAUCUGGAGGUUAUGGGUUCGAGUCCCAUCGGGGGUU
rnacentral:tRNA from 1 species